rnacentral:rRNA from 1 species
CCUGGUUGAUCCUGCCAGUAGUUAUAUGCUUGUCUCAAAGAUUAAACCAUGCAUGUCUAAGUAUAAACAAAUUUGUACUAUGAAACUGCGAAUGGCUCAUUAAAUCAGUUAUAGUUUAUUUGAUGGUACCUUGCUACAUGGAUAACUGUGGUAAUUCUAGAGCUAAUACAUGCAAUUAAGCCCCGACUUCCGGGAGGGGUGUAUUUAUUAAAUAAAAAACCAAUGCAGUUUGCCACUUCAUUGGUGAUUCAUAAUAACUUUUUGAAUCACACAGCCUUGUGCCAGCGAUGCUUCAUUCAAAUAUCUGCCCUAUCAACUUUCGAUGGUAGGAUAGAGGCCUACCAUGGUUUCAACAGGUAAUGGGGAAUAAGGGUUCAAUUCCGGAGAGGGAGCCUGAGAAAUGGCUACCACAUCCAAGGAAGGCAGCAGGCAUGCAAAUUACCCAAUCCUGACAUGGGGAGGUAGUGACAAUAAAUAACAAUAUAGGGCUCUUUCAGGUCUUAUAAUCGGAAUGAGUACAAUUCAAAUCUCUUAAUGAGAAACAAUUGGAGGGCAAGUCUGGUGCCAGCAGCUGUGGUAAUUUCAGCUCCAAUAGCAUAUAUUAAAGUUGUUGCAGUUAAAAAGCUCAUAGUUGAACUUCAGACCUGGCCAGGUGGUCUGUCUAAUGGCAAGUACUGUCUGGCUGGGUCUUACCUCUUGGUGAGCUGGCAUGCCCUUCACUGGGUGUGUCAGGGAACCAGGACUUUUACCUUGAGAAAAUUAGAGUGUUUAAAGCAGGCCUAUGCCUGAAUAUAUUAGCAUGAAAUAAUAAAAUAGGAUGUGUGGUUCUAUUUUGUUGGCUUCUAGAGUUGCUGUAAUGAUUAAUAGGGAUAGUUGGGGGCAUUAGUAUUUGGUCAUCAGACGUGAAAUUCUUGAAUUGACUGAAGACUAACUACUGCGAAAGCAUUUGCCAAAGAUGUUUUCAUUAAUCAAGAAUGAAGGUUAGGGGAUCAAAAAUGAUCAGAUACCCCAUAAUGGGAUCACUCAGCCCAGCUUAGGACCUUGUGGGUUUUUACCCUCAGUGCAUGGGCUUCAAACUAAGAAAGGCCUUGAAAUGAGUACCACAGUGGCUGAGCUGUGGGUGUGUGUAUUGUCUAUAAGUCCUAACAAUCACAUGAUAACCACAUGAAACCUUUGAGUUUU